rnacentral:rRNA from 1 species
UACGGAGGGUGCAAGCGUUGUUCGGAAUUAUUGGGCGUAAAGGGCAGGUAGGUGGUCUUGAAAGUCUACUGUGAAAUCCCUGAGCUUAACUCAGGAAGUGCGGUGGAUACUCCAAGACUAGAGUGCUGGAGGGGUGCGGUGGAAUUCCCGGUGUAGCGGUGAAAUGCGUAGAUAUCGGGAGAACACCAGAGCGAAGGCGGCGCACUGGACAGCAACUGACACUCAACUGCGAAAAGCGUGGGGAGCAAACAGG